rnacentral:rRNA from 1 species
CCUACGGGGCGCAGCAGUGAGGAAUAUUGGUCAAUGGACGAGAGUCUGAACCAGCCAAGUAGCGUGAAGGAUGACUGCCCUAUGGGUUGUAAACUUCUUUUAUAUGGGAAUAAAACGUUCCACGUGUGGGAUUUUGUAUGUACCAUAUGAAUAAGGAUCGGCUAACUCCGUGCCAGCAGCCGCGGUAAUACGGAGGAGCCGAGCGUUAUCCGGAUUUAUUGGGUUUAAAGGGAGCGUAGGUGGAUUGUUAAGUCAGUUGUGAAAGUUUGCGGCUCAACCGUAAAAUUGCAGUUGAAACUGGCAGUCUUGAGUACAGUAGAGGUGGGCGGAAUGCGUGGUGUAGCGGUGAAAUGCUUAGAUAUCACGAAGAACUCCGAUUGCGAAGGCAGUUCACUGGACUGCAACUGACACUGAGGCUCGAAAGUGUGGGUAUCAAACAGGAUUAGAUACCCGGGUAGUC